CGCCCCACCUGUCAGAAGUUUACGCUGUUCGUUUUCUUCACGUGAAAACCUCCACUGCUUGGGUGAAAAUGACGGAAUACAGAGGCGCACUCUAGCCCAACAUUUUCGACCCAGAGUCGGACCCAGAUCAAGAUGAAGAGGAGCCACCUGCAGAAACACCUUCACGAAUGCUGCAAGCAGUUUCUAAAUGCCGUUACAGAUAGCUUGCCUACAGGAGCUUUGUCAGUUGGUGUUGGGGAUUCCUUGGAUGCAGAAUAAGGGUCGUCAUCCCGUCCAGCGUGUUUCGUUCGGGAGUUUCCUGACAGCCAAGGACAAUACGUGGGCUUUAAACUGCCUCCCCUGGAUUGAAGCGAGACACAUAGUUGGCGAUCACCUCCUCCUUCUCUGGGUGCUCAAACUCUGAGGACAGGUCCGGAGGAAUGCUUAUUUUCAGGAGUUCCUCCCUGUAUGCUUCUUGGUCCACAAAGACCUCACCCAUGAUGAAGCCCAUCAAGUCUUCCACAUACCCUGUGCAAUAUUUCACACUUCAUAACUAUGUACAUAGUUUGUAAAGUAUUUCAUUGUACAUUUAUUUAUUGUUUUGUUCAUUGUAAAGACACCAUAGUGCAAUAGCAUGCAAAAUGAACAGAUCUUUUAUUGUUGAUAAAUAAAAAAUUAUGUAACUUA